CUGGAUCCAACAGACAGAGACCUCAGCUUUUGAAGAGCAUCAACCUGAAGGUAGAAGAAGAAGGUCAGACAGUACUCGAUAAGGACAAAGACCAGAGGAGUGGAGCUGAUGGCGUAGAAGUUGACAUGUCGAUUUCCGUUGUGCUUGCUGCUGCUGUUUUGUUGUUUUAGCCGUCUGUUGAACUGCAGCCAGUUUGAAAGGCCACAGAUGGAAAUAUCACAGUGUAUAUUCACUCCACCCACCCACUCAGCAUUCACAGUGACAGAUGUGCUGAGGACAGACAGAAGUUAACGAUGCACAAUUAAACUGGAAUUUAGCACCUGGAGGAAACAUUAAGUUAUGUUCGUGUUUGUGAUUAUCUGAAGUUUCCUGCUCAACAUACAUGUUUGUUUACAUUGUUAUCUGCUGCCUUUUUUAGUCACCAUCAAAUAUCACUGAGCUAUUAUGAAUUCUGAAUUUUACAUUUUGAUAUUUUUGUCCUACAUAUUUUUCAUUUUACAUUUUAUUUUUUAUAUUUUACAUGUUUUUUGCAUUUUUAAAGGCUUAAAAUACUGUUGAGAACGAAGGUUACAUUAUAUGUAAAGAGGGCCAAAUAUAAGCCCUGACGGCCAUCACUAGUCCACUGGAUGACUUUGAAAAAUAUAAAAUGUGAAUUAAAAAAGAAAAAGUAAGAUGUUGGACUAUUUACUGUAUUUUGUCAUUAACAGUGGAUAACAUCAUGAGAAUCGAUCAUAGAUUAAUUUUUUUUUAGACUAUUAGUAUAAAGAACAAAGUUUUUAUAACAAAUUUUCAGGAUUGAUGAAUCUGUAACAUCAGCAAAAUGUUUUACACUUGGUCAUGUGCAAUAAAGGACAUGUGAAUGAAUCCA